GAGGAGGUAGAUAGGUUGGGGGUGCAAGUGUGGUAACACAUGUAGCUGACCAAUACUAAUAAGUCAAAGGAUUAACCUA
rnacentral:rRNA from 1 species